rnacentral:rRNA from 1 species
AUUGAACGCUGGCGGCAGGCCUAACACAUGCAAGUCGAGCGGAGCGGCGGACGGGUGAGUAAUGCCUAGGAAUCUGACUGGGAGUGGGGGAUAACGUUCGGAACCGGGCGCUAAUACCGCAUACUAUCAGAUGAGCCUAGGUCGGAUUAGCGUGUUGGUGGGGUAAAGGCAUACCAGGGCGACGAUCCGUAACCGGUCUGGGAGGAUGAUCAGUCACACUGGAACUGAGACACGGUCCAGACUCCUACGGGAGGCAGCAGUGGGGAAGAUUGGACAAUGGGCGAAAGCCUGAUGCAGCCAUGCCGCGUGUGUGAAGAAGGUCUUCGGAUUGUAAAGCACUUUAAGUUGGGAGGCGUUACCAACAGAAUAAGCACCGGCUAACUUCGUGCCAGCAGCCGCGGUAAUAC